UGAGUUUGUUUCACUCUGUGGACUGGAUGUGCCAUGAAGACCAAUGGCCAGACCAGAUUGGCCAUUUCUCGUUUUUACACUAACGAUUGCGAUUACGAUGCAUUUAGGGCCAGGAGUUUUUCCCAGAUCAUGGGCAUCAGAUCAUCAUCAUCUGGGCCCUAGUUAUAGUCACAACUAAGGCCAAGUCUUUCCUGGUCAGAUCACACAGUCAGGAAAAACUCCUGGCACUCAACUUAAUGUAUACCAGAAAUCCUGGAGAACAUUUGACCUCCAUCCCUGGGCUGGUCUGGUCACCCCCACAGUGAGUCCAUGGGGAGCUCCAGGGAGAGAUCCAUUCCAGCCCCGUCCACAUAGUUAGGAUUCCAGGGUGAGGUUAUCCUGAUCCUCCACACAGUGAGAAACUGGGUUCUCUAUGGAGGAGCAACAUUUAAAUGUUACCUUUUCCCCUACGUUUCCACCCACCAUUCCAAACAUAUGGGCAGUGCUCUUCUUGAGUAUUGUUCAUACAGCAUAGUGAUUACAGUAAUAGUGAAUGUGUAAAGCCUUUCAACUAUUUCUGUAUGUAUCAGUAAUACAUACUGUACUGUAUGGUGUCAGGCUACAGAAUGUGCCUCCUGCUGUGCUACUGGUGUAAAUAUCUCCCAGUGUUCCUCCCCCCUCCAGUCUCACAGUCACAUUCAGUGAGCCGUGCCUUAAGUGGAAAAGACAGAGGAGAUUUCCAACCCCCUUGGAGAAGAUAAGGUGCUGACUGUCAGACUUCUUGCAGUUGUUUGUGGCUGAGAAACACAGACCCAACAUGGACGAGGCAGAGAAGUACCAGCAGAGAGUGCAGGCUAUAGCGGACAAGCGACGUAAGCAGCAGGACGACGAGAAAGCAAGGCGAGAGAUGGAGGAGGAGUGGCUGAUGCAGGCCCAGCGCAAGCGGAAGUCCUUGAGGGACCAGUGGCUGAGCGAGAACCCUCAGCCUGUCCCUGGGCACAGCGCUGAGAACUACACAGAGGAGUUGCCAACUGAAGAGGAUAUAGUGGAGGUCAUUGAAUCCACAAGCUACACAGUCACCAAUGCCCAGAACCACAGCCAGGCUGACAUUGAAGAGGGUGGGAUACAAGACGUCAUCAGAGCUGCUGGGGGUCAGCUCCCUGGGCCAGUAAUGGAGAGGGUUCUCCAUGAGAAUGGACUGGAAGGUCGAUCAGUGCUGGGGAUGGUUACAGUGCAGGUGGAGAGGGAUUCAAAGACAGGGGUCACCAAGAUCAGGUCUGUGGUGCCCGUGUCUGGAGCACCCAGGGCCUUGGGGGAGACGGUGUUCAAUGACAGCAGGAAGAGCGUCCACCACGUCGGCGGGGCAGAGGGGCAGCCUUCUGCUGAGGAGCUGGGACAGCUCCUUAGUGUCAUCAACGAUGUCGGGAUGCAAGUGCUGCUGGAUGAGAUCCCAGUUGUACCACAACAGAAGGCAGAGGAGAAGAUAGAGGCUGGUAGUGGGAUGGAAGAGGAGGUGGAGGACCCUGCCACACCUACAACCCUGGGCUACACUGAGGAAGAGGUUGAGGUUGUGGGGUAUAAGGUUGAUGAGAUGGACAAGGAGAUAGAAAUAGGAGUGGCGGAAAUUGUGGAGGGCCCUAUCCGACCGACCGACCUGGGCUACACUGAGGAAAAGGUUGAGGAUCUGGGCUAUGAGGAUGAUGAGAUGGACAAGGAGACAGGAGUAGGUCAGGUAGACCUUGUUGAGGGCACUGUCACACUGACCUUCCUGGGCUACACUGAGGUAAAGUCAGAGAGCGAGGGUCUGGGCCAUGAGGAUGAUAGAGAGUUGGUGGAGGUGGAGCGGGUGAUCAUUUCUGACGCGGGUGAGGAGGAGAUUGUUCUUCAGUCUCCUGUUCUUGGGUCUGAGACUGAACCCUUCCUGGGCUACACUGAACAAGAGGUUGAGGCUGUGGUGCAUGAGGAUGGUGAGGAGGACGUGAGUGGAUUGGUUGUCUUUGUGGAGGGCCCUGUCCCACCUGUCAUCCUGGGCUACACUCAGGAAGAGGUUGAGGAUCUGGGACAUGUGGAUGAUCCCCCCAGACCAACCCCACGCUACAGAGCCGAGGAAACAGGAAAGAGGGCAUCCAAACACAAUACCAAGUGCUGCUCUAUCAUGUGAUUCUGCACAUGAUAGAGCAUUACCCCCCCCCCCCCCCCCAUUCCUCUAAGCUAUGCCACUCAUGAUGAAUGGUCUGUAUGCGUGGCCUAAAUCUACAACAUUGUCUAAAUUGCACAGGAUGUGCUCCAGAGAAGCGUGCACUUGCUCCUCGUCUAAAAUGUCACUGGUAUCCUCUGAGACUACCGUCCCACAUGGCUUGUGUCAUGGAGUGUUUACUGUUAUCCUCCGCUCUUCAAACAGCUCUGUGAACAGACUCCAGUGUGACUGUUACAAAGCCCUUCUGCCUCCUGCUGGACACAGUUCAGUAAUGCAACUAGGUUUUACUGCCAGAAUCCCAGCAGCACUCAUCUCACACUCCUCCUCUGCCUUUGGGAUUGGUUGUAUCAGGCCAAAAAAAGUACUCAGCAUUAUGUCCUCUAGGAAUGAACCAAAGAAGAAGAAUAGAACAACCACUGAUCUGUUUCUUUUUGGAAAUAGAUUUUUAAAUAUUAAUCUCAGAAAUGCCUGAUGUGCCUAUUUCAAUUUCAAUGGCAACUAACCCUUUUGUUCUCUACUUUUAGAGUGUCCUCUACUUUUAUGGUGUCCUCAUCAGUAAUACAAAUGUUAUGGUUAUGAGUAUUCCGGCAGUGACCAAAACAGUCUGUUAAAGAAGGGUUGGUUGCAAUUACAUCUAUUCAGUGUGAUUUGUAUGUGUAAGUGUGUUUGAUAGUUGACUUUUGAUUUAGCCAUGUCUGUUAAUGAAGGUGGACAAAAACAAAACUGGAAUGUGUGUGUGAUUAUCAAAACAAAAUAUAUUUCAUAUUCUUAAGAUUUUUGUUUGUCUCGUUCUUUCCUUUUGAUUAGCAGUAGCAACGUUCCUGUCAGGACGUUCAUGUAUAGGACUCUUUAUUGCAAAUGAGCUGUGACAUACCAUUAAAGACACGCUAUGGAACUUUGGCGACUAUUAAGUCUUUUUUUUAACCUCCAGCUUUGGGCUGGAUGUGUCAAUGUGUAGUUCAUACAUACUUAAUAUAUGAGCAGAAUUACUGUCUUACCACAAUUAGCCAUGAAAUCCCUAGUAUAAAAGAGAUAGUAUUUUUCUGGAAGAUGUGCUAUGCCAUUUUCCCUAA
rnacentral:lncRNA from 8 species